rnacentral:sRNA from 1 species
UCACAGUGGUAUGGGGGCAGACGUAAA